AGGACGAACGCUGGCGGCGUGCUUAACACAUGCAAGUCGAGGGGGAGUAGGGGCAACUCUACUUCACCGGCGAACGGGUGCGUAACACGUGAGCGACCUACCCUGGUGUGGGGGAUAGCCGGCCCAACGGCCGGGUAAUACCGCAUACGCUCUUUGAGGGGCAUCCCUUGGAGACCAAAGCCGUGGGGCAACUCACGGCGCAUUGGGAGGGGCUCGCGGCCUAUCAGCUAGUUGGCGAGGUAACGGCUCACCAAGGCGACGACGGGUAGCUGGUCUGAGAGGAUGGCCAGCCACAUUGGGACUGAGAGACGGCCCAGACUCCUACGGGAGGCAGCAGUGGGGAAUCUUGCGCAAUGGGCGAAAGCCUGACGCAGCGACGCCGCGUGCGGGAGGACGGCCUCGGGUCGUAAACCGCUGUUGCCCGGACGAAUAGCCCUUUCGAGGACUUGACGGUACCGGUGAGGAAGCACCGGCUAACUCCGUGCCAGCAGCCGC
rnacentral:rRNA from 1 species